GACGAACCGUGCGAACGUUAUUCGGAAUCACUGGGCUUAAAGCGCGUGUAGGCGGGACGGCACGUCGGUUGCUGAAAUCCCCCGGCUCAACCGGGGAACGGGCACCGAUACGACCGCCCUGGAGGAACGUAGGGGGACCUGGAACUUCCGGUGGAGCGGUGAAAUGCGUUGAGAUCGGAAGGAACGCCCGUGGCGAAAGCGAGGUCCUGGACGUUUUCUGACGCUGAGACGCGAAAGCCAGGGGAGCGAACGGG
rnacentral:rRNA from 1 species